GCAAUUUAAUUUUAUUUGCUGCGCAUUAUGAAAUUGCAUGCAGUUGCUUAUCGAACAUAACCUCAAAUAAUGCAUUUAUAUUCAGCGCAAUCUGGUGAAAUAUAAGAAAAUAUAGUGAAAACAAUAAUUAGAAUAUAUUAAUAAUAUUUGCAAUAAGUGAGCCGACUCGACACUGCGCAAAAUGAUAGUGUCGUUUAGUUUAGAAGCUACGUAAAAAUACUUUGAAUAUAGUGUGUAAAGUAGUGUUAUGAAAUUCAUCAAAGAUCAAAAGAGUUUAAAUUUAAGCAUGACAUCAUAAGAAUGAGACAACAGAAAACACGUAACUAAAUAUGCGUGAUAGGAACGCUUCGUCAUAUGGAUGUUGCUGUAGGACAUUCAGCUGGCAACGUGGAGGCACCUUUUUUCCGAGGAACUGUCUGAAAUGACGUCGUAAUGGCUGAGUUUUGAAUAUUUUUCUUUGAAAAUUUCAGAAAAUCUUUGUAAAAUGUUUAUUUUUGGAAUAACAAAAA